rnacentral:tRNA from 1 species
UGCCGAGGUGGCGGAAUCCGGCUAUCGCGCACGCCUCGAAAGCGUGUUCCCACAAGGGAGUUUGGGUUCAAAUCCCAACCUCGGCGU